GGUUAAGUUAGAAAGGGCGCACGGUGGAUGCCUUGACACUAGGAGUCGAUGAAGGACGGGACUAACGCCGAUAUGCUUCGGGGAGCUGUAAGUAAGCUUUGAUCCGAAGAUUUCCGAAUGGGGAAACCCACCAUACGUAAUGGUAUGGUAUCCUUAUCUGAAUACAUAGGGUAAGGAAGACAGACCCAGGGAACUGAAACAUCUAAGUACCUGGAGGAAGAGAAAGCAAAUGCGAUUUCCUGAGUAGCGGCGAGCGAAACGGAACAUAGCCCAAACCAAGAGGCUUGCCUCUUGGGGUUGUAGGACAUUCUAUACGGAGUUACAAAGGAACGAGGUAGACGAAGCGACCUGGAAAGGUCCGUCGUAGAGGGUAACAACCCCGUAGUCGAAACUUCGUUCUCUCUUGAAUGUAUCCUGAGUACGGCGGAACACGUGAAAUUCCGUCGGAAUCUGGGAGGACCAUCUCCCAAGGCUAAAUACUCCCUAGUGAUCGAUAGUGAACCAGUACCGUGAGGGAAAGGUGAAAAGCACCCCGGAAGGGGAGUGAAAGAGAUCCUGAAACCGUGUGCCUACAAAUAGUCAGAGCCCGUUAACGGGUGAUGGCGUGCCUUUUGUAGAAUGAACCGGCGAGUUACGAUCCCGUGCGAGGUUAAGCUGAAGAGGCGGAGCCGCAGCGAAAGCGAGUCUGAAUAGGGCGUUUAGUACGUGGUCGUAGACCCGAAACCAGGUGAUCUACCCAUGUCCAGGGUGAAGUUCAGGUAACACUGAAUGGAGGCCCGAACCCACGCACGUUGAAAAGUGCGGGGAUGAGGUGUGGGUAGCGGAGAAAUUCCAAUCGAACCUGGAGAUAGCUGGUUCUCCCCGAAAUAGCUUUAGGGCUAGCCUUAAGUGUAAGAGUCUUGGAGGUAGAGCACUGAUUGGACUAGGGGUCCUCAUCGGAUUACCGAAUUCAGUCAAACUCCGAAUGCCAAUGACUUAUCCUUAGGAGUCAGACUGCGAGUGAUAAGAUCCGUAGUCAAAAGGAAACAGCCCAGACCGCCAGCUAAGGUCCCAAAGUGUGUAUUAAGUGGAAAAGGAUGUGGAGUUGCUUAGACAACUAGGAUGUUGGCUUAGAAGCAGCCACCAUUUAAAGAGUGCGUAAUAGCUCACUAGUCGAGUGACUCUGCGCCGAAAAUGUACCGGGGCUAAAUACACCACCGAAGCUGCGGAUUGAUACCGAAUGGUAUCAGUGGUAGGGGAGCGUUCUAAGGACAGUGAAGUCAGACCGGAAGGACUGGUGGAGUGCUUAGAAGUGAGAAUGCCGGUAUGAGUAGCGAAAGACGGGUGAGAAUCCCGUCCACCGAAUGCCUAAGGUUUCCUGAGGAAGGCUCGUCCGCUCAGGGUUAGUCAGGACCUAAGCCGAGGCCGACAGGCGUAGGCGAUGGACAACAGGUUGAUAUUCCUGUACCACCUCUUUAUCGUUUGAGCAAUGGAGGGACGCAGAAGGAUAGAAGAAGCGUGCGAUUGGUUGUGCACGUCCAAGCAGUUAGGCUGAUAAGUAGGCAAAUCCGCUUAUCGUAAAGGCUGAGCUGUGAUGGGGAAGCUCCUUAUGGAGCGAAGUCUUUGAUUCCCCGCUGCCAAGAAAAGCUUCUAGCGAGAUAAAAGGUGCCUGUACCGCAAACCGACACAGGUAGGCGAGGAGAGAAUCCUAAGGUGUGCGAGAGAACUCUGGUUAAGGAACUCGGCAAAAUGACCCCGUAACUUCGGGAGAAGGGGUGCUUUCUUAACGGAAAGCCGCAGUGAAUAGGCCCAAGCGACUGUUUAGCAAAAACACAGCUCUCUGCGAAGCCGUAAGGCGAAGUAUAGGGGGUGACACCUGCCCGGUGCUGGAAGGUUAAGGAGAGGGGUUAGCGUAAGCGAAGCUCUGAACUGAAGCCCCAGUAAACGGCGGCCGUAACUAUAACGGUCCUAAGGUAGCGAAAUUCCUUGUCGGGUAAGUUCCGACCCGCACGAAAGGUGUAACGAUUUGGGCACUGUCUCAACCAGAGACUCGGUGAAAUUAUAGUACCUGUGAAGAUGCAGGUUACCCGCGACAGGACGGAAAGACCCCGUGGAGCUUUACUGUAGCCUGAUAUUGAAUUUUGGUACAGUUUGUACAGGAUAGGCGGGAGCCUUUGAAACCGGAGCGCUAGCUUCGGUGGAGGCGCUGGUGGGAUACCGCCCUGACUGUAUUGAAAUUCUAACCUACGGGUCUUAUCGACCCGGGAGACAGUGUCAGGUGGGCAGUUUGACUGGGGCGGUCGCCUCCUAAAGUGUAACGGAGGCGCCCAAAGGUUCCCUCAGAAUGGUUGGAAAUCAUUCGUAGAGUGCAAAGGCAUAAGGGAGCUUGACUGCGAGACCUACAAGUCGAGCAGGGACGAAAGUCGGGCUUAGUGAUCCGGUGGUUCCGCAUGGAAGGGCCAUCGCUCAACGGAUAAAAGCUACCCCGGGGAUAACAGGCUUAUCUCCCCAAGAGUCCACAUCGACGGGGAGGUUUGGCACCUCGAUGUCGGCUCAUCGCAUCCUGGGGCUGUAGUCGGUCCCAAGGGUUGGGCUGUUCGCCCAUUAAAGCGGUACGCGAGCUGGGUUCAGAACGUCGUGAGACAGUUCGGUCCCUAUCCGUCGUGGGCGUAGGAAAUUUGAGAGGAGCUGUCCUUAGUACGAGAGGACCGGGAUGGACGCACCGCUGGUGUACCAGUUGUUCUGCCAAGGGCAUAGCUGGGUAGCUAUGUGCGGAAGGGAUAAGUGCUGAAAGCAUCUAAGCAUGAAGCCCCCCUCAAGAUGAGAUUUCCCAUAGCGUAAGCUAGUAAGAUCCCUGAAAGAUGAUCAGGUUGAUAGGUUCGAGGUGGAAGCAUGGUGACAUGUGGAGCUGACGAAUACUAAUAGAUCGAGGACUUAACCAU
rnacentral:rRNA from 1 species